UACGUAGGGUGCAGGCGUUAAUCGGAAUUACUGGGCGUAAAGCGUGCGCAGGCGGUUUGCUAAGACAGGUGUGAAAUCCCCGGGCUUAACCUGGGAACUGCGCUUGUUACUAGCAGGCUUGAGUGUGGCAGAGGGGGGUGGAAUUCCACGUGGUAGCAGUGAAAUGCGUAGAUAAUCAGGAGGAACACCGGUGGCGAAGGCGGCCCGCUGGGCGAAAGCUGGCCUGACCACUGGAUGACGCGACAGCUGUGGGGA
rnacentral:rRNA from 1 species